rnacentral:rRNA from 1 species
CAGUCGACGGUGAAGCCAAGCUUGCUUGGUGGAUCAGUGGCGAACGGGUGAGUAACACGUGAGCAACCUGCCCUGGACUCUGGGAUAAGCGCUGGAAACGGCGUCUAAUACUGGAUAUGAGCUCUCAUCGCAUGGUGGGGGUUGGAAAGAUUUUUUGGUCUGGGAUGGGCUCGCGGCCUAUCAGCUUGUUGGUGAGGUAAUGGCUCACCAAGGCGUCGACGGGUAGCCGGCCUGAGAGGGUGACCGGCCACACUGGGACUGAGACACGGCCCAGACUCCUACGGGAGGCAGCAGUGGGGAAUAUUGCACAAUGGGCGGAAGCCUGAUGCAGCAACGCCGCGUGAGGGAUGACGGCCUUCGGGUUGUAAACCUCUUUUAGCAGGGAAGAAGCGAGAGUGACGGUACCUGCAGAAAAAGCGCCGGCUAACUACGUGCCAGCAGCCGCGGUAAUACGUAGGGCGCAAGCGUUAUCCGGAAUUAUUGGGCGUAAAGAGCUCGUAGGCGGUUUGUCGCGUCUGCUGUGAAAUCCCGAGGCUCAACCUCGGGCCUGCAGUGGGUACGGGCAGACUAGAGUGCGGUAGGGGAGAUUGGAAUUCCUGGUGUAGCGGUGGAAUGCGCAGAUAUCAGGAGGAACACCGAUGGCGAAGGCAGAUCUCUGGGCCGUAACUGACGCUGAGGAGCGAAAGGGUGGGGAGCAAACAGGCUUAGAUACCCUGGUAGUCCACCCCGUAAACGUUGGGAACUAGUUGUGGGGACCAUUCCACGGUUUCCGUGACGCAGCUAACGCAUUAAGUUCCCCGCCUGGGGAGUACGGCCGCAAGGCUAAAACUCAAAGGAAUUGACGGGGACCCGCACAAGCGGCGGAGCAUGCGGAUUAAUUCGAUGCAACGCGAAGAACCUUACCAAGGCUUGACAUACACCAGAACACCGUAGAAAUACGGGACUCUUUGGACACUGGUGAACAGGUGGUGCAUGGUUGUCGUCAGCUCGUGUCGUGAGAUGUUGGGUUAAGUCCCGCAACGAGCGCAACCCUCGUUCUAUGUUGCCAGCACGUAAUGGUGGGAACUCAUGGGAUACUGCCGGGGUCAACUCGGAGGAAGGUGGGGAUGACGUCAAAUCAUCAUGCCCCUUAUGUCUUGGGCUUCACGCAUGCUACAAUGGCCGGUACAAAGGGCUGCAAUACCGUGAGGUGGAGCGAAUCCCAAAAAGCCGGUCCCAGUUCGGAUUGAGGUCUGCAACUCGACCUCAUGAAGUCGGAGUCGCUAGUAAUCGCAGAUCAGCAACGCUGCGGUGAAUACGUUCCCGGGUCUUGUACACACCGCCCGUCAAGUCAUGAAAGUCGGUAACACCUGAAGCCGGUGGCCUAACCCUUGUGGAGG